GCGUGGGCAGGGAGCAGACUGACAGAGACCGACUGACAGACCGGGGCGGGCGGCGUGUAGGGGGCGAGCUCCCCGCUCCUGCCGUCCCCCUUCUCCCUGCCCACCAACAGCGCCGAGACCCCCAGCCUUAGGAAAGGAGGGGAAAGAGGAGGAGGAGGAGGAGACCGACCCUCAUCAGCAGCUUGCCUCCACCACACGCCUCCCCUUCUCCCCUCCCUCUGGCCUCAGCGCCGCGCUGGCGGGGGCCGGCGAGGGCAGGCGACGCGGGAAGGCGGCUCUCAGCAUGGACGAGCCAUGUGUAUCCUAAGGAAUAACAGCAGCUGCUGCGCCCACGAUGGGGAGCAGAGGAACGCCAGGAGGAGAGGGCUCGCUGGGGCAGAAUCAAAGAACCUGUGUGUGACAUCGUCAUGAAUGAGAGAAGAAAGUAAUACAGUAUUGGAUGUGCCUGUUUGCUGCCACUGUUUAGAGAGAAAAUGAUGCAUUAUGGGGAAUCACACAAAAGGAGUGAAUGAGAUGAACUGUUUGGGUUAUAGAAUCUGAAAGGCUAAAUUAUUUUCUUGGCGAGACGUUCUAAAUGAGCCUGACCGAGAUACUGGAUCUGUGUGAAGAGGACUAAGGAUAUAGGAUGUCAACUGAGACAGAACUUCAAGUGGCUGUUAAAACCAGCACAAAGAAAGACUCCAAAAAGAAAGGUCAGGAUCGCAGUGAAGCCACUUUAAUAAAGAGGUUUAAGGGUGACGGUGUCCGAUACAAAGCAAAACUGAUUGGGAUAGACGAGGUUUCUGCUGCCCGAGGAGACAAGUUAUGCCAAGACUCCAUGAUGAAGCUCAAGGGAAUUGUUGCUGCGGCUCGUUCGAAAGGAGAGCAUAAACAGAAAAUCUUCUUAACAGUCUCCUUUGGAGGAAUCAAAAUCUUUGACGAAAAGACAGGGCUACUACAGCACCACCAUGCAGUUCAUGAAAUAUCUUACAUCGCAAAGGAUAUCACAGACCACCGAGCGUUUGGAUAUGUAUGUGGAAAGGAGGGAAAUCAUAGAUUUGUGGCAAUAAAAACAGCCCAGGCAGCUGAACCUGUAAUUCUGGACUUGCGAGAUCUGUUUCAGCUCAUCUAUGAACUGAAACAAAGGGAAGAAAUGGAAAAAAAGGCACAAAAGGACAAACAGUGUGAACAAGCGGUAUACCAGACAAUUUUGGAAGAAGAUGUAGAAGACCCUGUAUACCAGUACAUUGUGUUUGAGGCUGGACACGAGCCAAUCCGUGAGCCUGAAACAGAAGAAAACAUUUAUCAGGUUCCUACCAGCCAAAAGAAGGAAGGUGUUUAUGAUGUGCCAAAAAGUCAACCUGUAAGUCUGGAGAAUGGAAACUUAUUGCUGGACAUUGAUGAAAAUCUUGUUUCAGUCACUCAGGCUGUUACCCAACUAGAGCUUUUUGGGGACAUGUCCACUCCUCCUGAUGUAACCUCUCCCCCGACUCCUGCUACUCCAGGUGAUGCCUUUAUCCCAUCUUCAUCCCAGUCACUUCCUGCUAGUACAGACAUGUUUGGUUCUGUACCUUUCAGCACUGCUGCCGUACCCUCAGGUUAUGUUGCCAUGGGAGCUGUUCUGCCCUCGUUCUGGGGACAGCAACCACUUGUUCAACAGCAGUUGGCCAUGGGUGCUCAGCCUCCAGUUGCUCAGGUGAUGCAGGGAGGACAGCCGAUAGCGUGGGGCCAACCCGGUAUUUUUCCUCCUACUCAGCAACCGUGGCCAUCUGUAGCUGGUCAGUUCCAACCAACUGCCUUCAUGCCAACACAAACUGUUUUGCCUUUACAAGCAGCCAUGUUUCAAGGUACCAUUGCUCCUAUAGCUACUGUUCCACCCACAAGUGAUUCCAACAGAUCAAGUCCACAGACAGACAGGCCCAGACAGAAAAUGGGAAAAGAAAUGUUUAAAGAUUUCCAGAUGGCUCAGCCUCCACCAGUGCCAUCAAGAAAACCAGAUCAGCCUUCCCUCAGUUGUACCUCAGAGGCCUUCUCAAGUUACUUUAACAAAGUUGGGAUGGCACAGGAAGCAGAUGAUUGUGAUGACUUUGACAUCUCUCAAUUAAAUUUGACUCCUGUGACUUCCACGACACCAUCAACAAACUCACCUCCAACCCCUGCACCCAGACAGAGUUCUCCAUCAAAAUCAUCAGCAUCUCAUACCAGCGACCCUGCUGCAGAUGACCUCUUUGAAGAGGGAUUUGAAAGCCCAAGCAAAAGUGAGGAGCAGGAGGCUCCUGAUGGGUCUCAGGCCUCAUCCAACAGUGAUCCAUUUGGUGAGCCAACUGGUGAUACUAUAAGUCCACAGGUCGGUAGCUAGAUAGCGCAGGUUGGGAUUGAUGAUGCCACACAGCAAUUUGGCCUUGCCUUCGUCUGACCCCAGCCAGCACUGAUGAAGCCAGCUAUUCCAGCUUCAGAGUGUUUCAGGAUUUCCUUCUUAGAUCAAGAAAAAGGAUAUGACCUUUAUCUGAAUCCUACACUCUGCAAACCUACGUGCAUUUUUUUAUUAUGGUUUAUCAUAGUUGGGAUAUUUCUGAAAUUCAUCAGAGGGAGAAUAAUGAUAAAAUCUCUUUCUAAUUUUCUGACUGUCACAAAGAUAGUUAGCAUCAUUUGUAAGCUAGCACCAUGCACAUUUGCCUAUCAGGAGUUCUGGGAAUAGCUUGUAACAGUGAUUGAAGUCUGUUGAUGCAUACUACAGUGUAAGACAGUCAAGUGUGGGACACCUUUUGUUCUGUUUUUAUAUAACGCUUACUAAACUACUUUCUUCUACCUGUCAGGGGCCUCUGGGUGCUACAAGAACAAUAUUUUGCCGGUGACUCCAUAGGGUGUUUUUUUCCUGUGUUUUCUGUUAAUGCUUUUACAAUCUUGCAUCUAUACAAUCUAUGUUAUAUAUAGAGAGAGCUCAGAAAUACAUUCUGGGAAGUGUUAAAUAAUGCCAUUGAUUAUGAUAUAGUAAUUCCUAAGAGCAGUGGGCAGGAAGCGGAACAAGAAGAAGCAUCUCUCCAGUGAAUACACUGGAGAUACACGAGCAUCAUUGUGCCUCAGUGCAGUGCCAUCCAGCAGUCUGAGAGAAAUCCACUUGCUGAAGCCAGCCCAUCUAAUUCUGCAGCCUGGUAUCAUGAGAGCAACGGAGACUCUAAUCUCCAUGGAAAACGAUCAGUUCAGGACUUACUACUGGGUUGUGUAUUGAGGCUGCAUUUGGAGAGAAACGUAAUGGAGAGAAGCAUGUAGUACAAAAGAAUCACAGCCUGCUUAAAAGCCACUUUUGUGUGCAAGAUGGAGAUUACUUGGCUCUUUCAGAACAUGGUUCUUCACACCAAGAACACCACAGUAUGCAGCUUGGAUGAAUGGACCUCUCAGGAGCAAGACUUAGUAUUGUGUUCAGAAAUUUCAAAUAUUGUUCCCAGCAUUUGUAUUAAAUCAGCUGUGCCCAUACAACCUUUGUCUCGAUGUAUUCAGGAUACUCACCUGCUUAUUAUUUUGUGCACUGAUCUUUCAGUGUACCUUAGCAAUUUGAUUUCUUCAUUCCUUCUGCUAUCCCCUAUUCUCAUUUAGAUAUAAUUCAGCGGCUUCUAGCAAGUAUCUUUGUUUCUCUGUGUUUUGUCUCUCCCUUUUGUGAUCUUCAACUUAAGCUUUCAAAACCUCAUCCUAACAGUAGCCAUUCUUAUAAGUAACUCUUCUACAAAUGGCUACGGGUUCUUAGCAGGUAAAUGUGGCAUUAUACGGAUAAAUUACUUUUUUCUCCCUUUAUGGCUGGAGAUAAGGAGCAGCCUAUGAAAGGCCUGACUUCACAGGUGAAAAAAAAUCAACUGUUUGCAGAGCUGUUCAUAGCAAGAUUUGUAUCUAGUUGUUUUCCCUUUGUUCAUGAGCUGUGUCAAGGAUGAGUAGUGAUUUUCCAGAAGAGGUGAGAAGAACAGUGAAUAGUAAGACUGCCAUCUUCAGCUGAUUAACAUUUAAUUCCCGAUGCUGCCUAUAGAUUGUGUGGUGGGUAACUGCAGUGAAAGAAGAAAGGGAAUGAACUGUACUUAGCUAUGUUUAUGCUGAAUGUGCUGAACGUUUCUCAUUACUGGCAUUGCUGAUAAACCCGGAAAGUCUGAAAACAGCAAUUUUCACCUGGUCACCCCCUUUGCCCUGGUGCAUGCAGUGACCCUGAUGUCAGGGGUGCUAGGUACAGACAUCCCUAGUGUGGAUAUUUCUGUUCAUGGGGCUAUCUCAGCUUCAGCCCCCAACUCAACCUCAGCAAUUGCACUCUGAAGCAAAGAAGCGCUGAAGCUUUAGAGUUGAAAGCUUAGGAAAGUCUGUAGGAAGGGGAGCCUUCAAGCAUGGUAAGAACAAGGAAGGACUCCUUACGGACCAUACAAACUGGUUCUUGAAGGCAAAUCAGCAACAGGGUGAAAAUUCUGAAAUCAAAUACAGGGGGUAUUUGGUACCACAAUUAAUCCAAUAAAAGUCAUUUAAAAUGCUGGAAGAAGUACAGCUCUAUUGAUAUGCUGCCCAGCUCAAGACUUGCACUGGCAGUCAUUCAUGAGAGAUUUUCAGGAAGCCUUCAAAACAUUUGUGGCUAGAGCAUAUCUUCCUCAGAAAGUUGUUUAGUUGUUCUGUGAAAUGUGUGCAGACAAUUAAAAGCCCUCAAAAUAUGUCGCACCCUUCACGAUGCUAUCAGCACUGUCAGGAGAGCAACAGUUCCUUUGAAUAUUUGUCUAUCAGCUUUUGGUGGUACUUUGGUGGCCUGCUGCCAUCUUCCAUCUCGCAGCCUGUGCCAUUCUUUGUGAUGAAUGUUCCUAAUCAUUUUAGUCAGCUCCAGAACAGACUACUUAAAAGUCUUUAUCUGGGCUGUUACUGUGAAGUUGACAGAAAAUAGCAACUUAAGGACACAGCACUGGCUUAGUCUGAGGAUUUUGUGAGCCUCAGUAGGGCAUAUGAAGCUGAUUCUGCAACCUGCUGUUCCUUUCUGGCCCCUUUCUGCUGCACGAGGAAUCAGAGUGGGCUCAAACAUGGAAGAAUGUCUUUGUGGGAUCUGUUACUGUCAUUCAUCUGCCUCAAUAGGAACUGAACAGAGUCCAAAGAGAAAUUCAUAAUGAUUUUAGGUGACCUACUCCUACCGUAGACCCUAGUGCUCUCAAACUGAAGAAACAGCACUGAGCAGGGUUAUGGACCUUAGAGAGAAGUUGACAGGGUUAUGUACUUGGAAAGGGAUCCCAGUUCAGGAAAUACUGCUUUCUUCCAGAGAGAUCCCCAAAUUGUCAUUUCAGGCCCCAUUUUCCUGCUUGUUUGUUCAUCAUUGUAUUUCCCAGGGCAUCUGAAGGAUGAAGAGAAAUCCAGGCUGUUCUGUGAGCAGAUUUGCCUUCCUUUCACUGCUGCAAUCCCCUCACUUGCCCCUUUUGUCUGUCUGUUUUCACAUGACCAGCUCGUACACAGGUUUCACAGCUUUUCCAAUGUCUGCAAGCCUGCCUGGAGCAGCCAGGUACCUUUCAAUUUCUCCAACUUCUUCCUCUGAACAAGGGACAACAAACUAGGUGGCUUGUCUACAGCCACGCGCUUGCUGAUUGACAAUCCAGCAAUUCAAUUAGGGCACGAGCUCUCCUACCUUUCUCUGUAAUGAGGUCGUUUAAAAGUUCCCUGUCUUCUGCACAACAACUGAUUUUCAGGACACUUGCGGUAAUUUAGUAUCUUUGAGACUUCUGAACAAUUUGCUUCAAAUUGGCUAUUGGGCUCAAAAGUUAUUAAGGAAAAUUGGCAGUUACAUAGACAGAAAGCAUAAUUUAAUGGCUCCUGUUUUCUUAGGAAAGCAGCCCAGAAAUAACAGGCGUGUUUCUAUGCUGCAACUCAUUAUUAUUCCACAACCAAGAUUUAGCAGAGUUCAUCAGUGUAAGUAGUUCUCAUUGUUUUUUUCAGGUUGUGGUUGUAUUGCAUCCAUACUGAUACUAAAAUGACAAAGACUUGUAAAAUGCUAGCAAUCAAACCAGAUAUAUGAGACUAGGAGAUAUUCCUGGGCAGGUUUGCAGUAAGAAUAGAGGCACCCUUCAGUCACAAUCCUUAAUGAGAAGGUUGCUAUAUUUAUGCAGCUAAUAGAGGCUAACUGUAAUACAAACAAACAAAGAGAAGCCACAGGCUGUUAAUGGGGGAAUAGGAACUGCCCGUGUUUCCACCAAAGAUUAUUUAAUUUAAAUACUGCUUGCCAAGUUUACUCUGUCCUAUUUUAUUGCAUCAGAAUGCAAUAGAGAAGAUGCAUUGCACUCCCGUUUCCCUUCACUUGCAUCCCCAGCACAAGAUUCUCAUUUUGGCUGGUGUUCCAGCACACUUAUUUCAUGAAACUAUCAUUUGAGCCUAACCUUUCUGAUCAGUCAGCCAGGAGUAAAACUGGUGCUGAGAAUCUAUUGUAAAGGGCAAAGAAAUCUAUGCGGGCCUCACCUCUACAACUCAGUACAUCUUGCCUGAAGCUUUGCACAUAGCAGGGUGCCUUGCAAUGAUGAAAGGACUGCCAGUGUGAAAAUAGUUGCUUCCUAACCAAGUCCUGUGUUAUGUUUUGUGAGUGAGCUCACCUGCACGAGCCCAAGUAGUGCUGAAUCUGUUGGAGGUGUUCUCCAACGCCUAGUUCUGCUGGGGAGCAGGUGUUAAUGCCUUUGAAUAGGGUGCAGUGUUAUUCAGAACCAUUAGCACCCCCGUUAUCUCAUGCAGUAGUGCACUAUACCAAAAGUCCAUACUCUUUGCUACAGUGUUGUUUGUUGUGCAAAAUGUUCCUGAAAAUGGGAAGAAUUACAAGAUUUUAAACAGGAAGUAUCUCUGGAAUACAUAAAUGUAGCAUACAAAGGGAAAUUUUUCUCUUUAGCAUUUUUUUCAGUGAAUUCCAAGAGAGUUCAUAACUCAAAAUUGCACAACAUACUUUUAGAUUCCUUAACAUUUAGAUGUUUAACUUACGACAUGUAUAUUUAGACUUGCUGGUCCCCUCCUGCAACCUGCCUCUUCAGUGAGAUAUCUGAUCUGUGAUUUCAUAUCCUUUUCUUGCAAUCUCUUGUAAUUUAAAGGCAAGAAAUAGGUUCAGCAUAAAAAGCCACAUUAGUAUGUGAAGAUUUCUGCUUCCUAGGCCUAGCAAAAUACUCCUGGUGAAAACUCCUCUGCCUGGCAUUGUGAGAGGGAGGAUCUGUGCUGUCAACAGUACUGAACUCUCCUUGUGCUGCUUUUCUGUCCUUUACUGCUCUCUUUUGCUCUCCUGAGCAUCACUGUAAGUUCUUUAUAGCUGCUAUUUACAGUGUUGGGCUGUAGUCAAGAGGCACUGUUGAAUUAUCUCAAAAUAAUAUUAGAAAACAAGUCCCACCCACUGACUAAAAAAAAAAAAGCUGAGAAGAUUGCACAAAAUUACAGCAAUCGAUUUCUCAUUUAUACAUCUGAAGGGGGAAAUCACCUAGAGAAAGAUGUAAGAGCUCACUUUUCAUUCAGAAUGUUUUGAUCUACGAGAAGAAACGUUAUUCAAAUUGUUGACAGAAGCAGACCCUUGCCACAUGCAGUGUAUGUUCAUAUUGGGUAUGAAUAAAAGUUUGAAUUUUCUGCCUGAAAACUCUCCCUUGUGCGUUGUUGGAAGUGCUCAUGGCUGGCGAUGAACUCUCCCUCCUCUUCCAGUGAUGCCAGGUUCAGUGACACCUCAGGACACCUGUUACCUCAGUGUCUCUGCGUGUCUUAUAGAUAUUGGAAGAGAGCUCUAACAAGCACAUUCAAUGUUUUUAAAGGCUUUUAUAUUCCCUAAGGCACUCGAAAAAUCGACAUCCUUUGUUCCAAAGUGAUCUUCUCCCUCCCUCCCUUUUUCUUCCCCUCCUUCCUUUUUGCUUCCUGUCGCAAUCACCUCAGGUUCAGCAAAUGCCUGAAGAAUGGCCUGGUGUGUGUCGGGUUCCCACAUUAAUUAGUUCAGAUUUUCUCUGAACUAGCUGUGAUAGAUCAUUCUGCCAGCCUCACGUCUGCAGUACAUGAAAAUUGGCGUAGGUAGAGUCAGCACGCAGUAUGUGAGAUGCAGUUAUUUACUCUCACUCAUCUCUUCUGAUUACCUUUGGUUUCUCAAGGUCACCACAUGUAUUUGCUUCUUGCUGUGGAUAAUUUCCGCAGCCUUUAUUUAAUCAUUCUGAGAGAUUUCUUUCAUCCUCUUUUAAUGCUCGUGCUGUACUCAGGGCUUCUUGUGGGUAGGAGAUAGGGAAGAGGAGUCUCCACAGGCUCCACAAAUGUGGAUGUUUGAUAAGAUAAGAGAUACAGCUUUCCUUGGCACACAGGGAGCAGGCCAUAUUUUGGAAGGAGGCUCACGGUGCUGCUUCAUUCACCAAGAGCUGCUGGGUUAGGCAUGACGGGGCACUGCCUGCACUCUGCCCAGACACCCCCACGCCAAGUGCAUGCAGCCCCUGUGGGGCUGAUUUUCUGAUCAGCAGCACCAUCUCUAAAGGCAGCGAUUAAAAUCCAGCGCUGGCUCUCUCCAGACAUUUCUGGGUCCGCAGUGCCCAGUGAUUUGCCAGCCCUCAGUUCUUUUGCUUGAAGCCAGCUUCUGCUGACGCUGCUGUACCGUGAGUUGGUUCUAGCUUGGUGAAAUUCAGCGGCGUGGUAUUUGAAUAUUUAUCAAGCUGCGGAGAGUUAAUGCAGUAUGGCAUUAAUUAGCCUUUCUGCCUGUCUUGUUCUUUUUUUAGAUGUCAUUCUUAGUUUAAUAAAUUAGUUUCUGGGAAUGAAGUCGAGUGGAUUCCAGGGCCCAUGGAUGGUUUGCUUCACGCUGCAGCCAAGACGAGCAUAACAUUAGGAACACGCAGAGUGUCAGCUAUGAAGGAGCAUUAAAGACAUGGCAGCUUUCCCCCCCCUGCUCCCCACAUCCAGGAAAUCCCCAAGAAAAUAUCUGUUAGAAAAUUGACAUGUUUUCCUCCCAGCUUUAAUGAUUGUACUAAUGGCUACACAGCCUCCUAAUCAAACUGCACGGAGCUGGCUUUCCUCGUUCUUCAUAGGCGACUCACGCCACAUCUCUCUGAAAAUACUGUUAUUUUAAUCCCAUCACAGCUUCAUUAGUUCAGCUUUCAGCAGCGGUUUCUGCUUGCAAGUGUGUUUUUUUUUUCUGCAUGAGUUGUGUAAAACCCACAGCUAAGUGCCGUUGUUGCGCUCUCGGGGUGGGAUUCUCAGCCUGCUGCAAGUUACAGCCUUUUAUGCCAGCUACAUUUCUGGCCCGUAAACUUCAAAUCAUCUAGUCAUAUAAAUAUCAUUUCAUUUCUUCAUAUGUUUAUGCCCAGCAAUACCUCCUGAGGAUCGGUGCACAGCCAAUAUGGAAGAGGAAAUUGAUUGAAGCAGAACCUCUCUACGCCCAGAUCAACAGACCUAAGAAAUAGCAUUGGUACAGGCUUGUGGUGCUCCGAGACUCGAAUGAAACCCACCAACCUGGCAGGCCUUUGGCUUUCAUGCUUUUUUCCGAUUGAUUUUGGCUGGCAAGGAUAGAUGAUUGCCCUCCUGGACUGGCUCUGCGAGUGUUCCUGAUGAUUUUUGGCAACCAAUGGCAGAUUCCUAUGGCAGCACAAAAUAAAAACUCCCUGCUUAUCACACCAAGAGUCCAGCCCUGUCCCCACAAGUCAUGGGUAUCCAGACUAGGAAAUCUUGCUCCUCGGUCUUCUUUUCAACAUUGGUUAUCUUCUGUAUGCCACAUAUAAAUAACGAGCAUCUGAAAUUUACUGAGUAUCAGACAUUCCUUUUCUUUUGAGCAAAAAGCAGAAUCUGUAUGUAGCAGUGGCAUUAUCAUUCAACAGCCUUUUGGGCACAAGUCGGCACUUUUUAUGUCACGGUGACAUGUUUUUCAUCAUCAUUUACAUCAGGCUGAUCCUGACUUAUUUUUUUUUCCCUUGUGUAGGCAUAUUUAAACAACAGCAACAACAAAAUACUGGCAGUGUCAUUUUUUUUGUAUUUCUUAUUCUGUAGUUUUGUAUGAGUGACAGAUCUAACAGCAAAACACCUCCUGCGGAAACGAUUCCUAACUUGAAACCACAGAAUAAAACUCGGUUGUUUAUCCAUCCUGACUGAAAAUGUUGCCAAAUGUACCUUUAAGUUCUAGCGCAUCAUGAGGAAGAAAUGCUGCUUUUCUGUUUGAAUACUCAUGUUGUGGGUAGAGGAAGGACAUCAAGUCCCACUGAUGGAAGAGAUGAAAGAUUCACUAUUUCCUAGGAAACUCUAAACAAAGUACAGAAAAGGAAUAUUUUUAUUUCUUCGAUAUCUUGCUGCUGUAAUGCUAUGCAGACAAGUGUUUUCUUCUCUGUGUGCCAUUUUUGAUGAAAAAAAUCAUUUGCCAAAUAAUACUGGUAUGAUUCUGGUUUGGGAAGUUGGAUGGAAAGGACUUUACAAAUGGGACAACGGUGGCAUGGAUUUUGGAAUAACGAACUGAUUCUGUGAUCAAAUCGUUCAUCUUUAUCACUUUUUGUACAUCAGAAAAAUCAAAUGGGAUUUUUAUUUUAUAACUUGAAAAAAAAUCUUACUGUUAAACUCUUUAAAUGUUAAAGGGGAAAUGGCUUUAAGGAGUUCGAAUGAAAAUUGCCAGUUUUUUUGUAAAUAUAAAUGUUAUGAAAAUUCUUUUACUAAUGCCAUUACACGGUAGAGAAGGUAGCAAGUUGCAGUGCUUGGGAGGUGUGGCAAACCCAAUUUGUGGUUCUCACAUCACAUACGUUUUUUCACAUGCUUACGAUAAUGGGCUGAAGCUCAAGUGCAUUUGCCAAAAGCAGUCAGCUUGUCAGCAACUAGUGAAAUUAAUGGGAACACAUGAUUUUAUGAUCUAGCUUUUUCACACAGGCAUACUCCACGUACGAGAACUCACAUUUCAUUGGCAUUCCUUUACGAUUCCAGAACCUCUGCAUAGAAGUCAUCCAACUGUUUACACAUAGAAUGAAAGAAUUUAAAACUUCCGUUUUUUUACAUUUAUGAAGCAAAAGUGCAGUGUUUGGGUUCAUAUGUUUAGCACAUGAUUUUCAUAAAGAAUCUAUAUAUUUUUGCCCUACAGAGAAUUGUUAUACAGGUCAAAUGUGUUUUCCUGAUGUUCCUAUGCAGUUACAGUAUAUUGAAUUUAGUGGUUUAACACUAAAAAGAAAAAAAAAGAAAAAGAAGAAAAAAAGGAAAAAAAUAGAAAAAAAAAAGAAAAAAAUAGAAAAACAAAAAAGGUUAAAGAAAUUAAAUGAUUAAUCUGUUUUUAGGGUUAUUGUGCAGAUUUUGUUUUUAAAUUGACACAUUAGGAUUUGCAUUUUUGUCAUGAUUAAAAUAGGCCUGGAGUUAUAAAUAUUUUACUUUCUUUCAUCUCUAUUAUAAGCUAAAAAUGGUUUAGAAGGCAGAAUACCUGGGGUGGCAAUUGUGGAUACGUAUAACCAAAUCUCACCACAUGAUUCCAGUCUUUUAUUUUGAAUUAGAGAAAUUAGAGAAAUGUGCGUUACAGAAUGUAUGUGAAUGAAAAAUUAGCUGUGAAUAGACCUAACGAACCUGCAGAGAAGAGAACUUUUAUCCCCAUCCACAGUCGUUUGAUGCUUAUUUCUUAGACAUGUGCAAGCAGUUUUGUAGCAAAUCUUAUUUUCCCAUCAGAAGAAAGGUCAGUUUUCUAACCGGAGACAAUGAAUUAAAACUUGGUGGGUUGAGCGUUUUGGGAUUAAAAGCAGAGGUAAAAAUGUUUCUGAAGGACAUUACAUUAAGUAUAUUUUCCUAGUUUGCACAGUGGUGCUACCUUCUUCUUCAGUGGCUCCUUUCAAUUUUGUCCUACAUACGGAACCACGAAGACAGUUUUGAUUCAUAGUAGACAUUUGAGGUUUAGUCUAGUCAGCACAUCUCCAGUUAUGGGGUAAAAUAUUGAAAGGAAAAGAAGAGAUUUAUGUCUCAGAGGAUCCAUUGACAUCAUAUUUGUAGGAAGCAGAUCAUUUACAUAGUCCUUGCAACAAAUAGGUGCGGAGGGAAGGAGGCUGGGAUUUUAGUGUUUUGGGAGAGACAGCUGGACCAUCCCCGUGGACCACUGUCCUACCUUUGCCAAUGUUCAUAAAUAAAAUUAAAUUCAGAAUUGUCGUGUCAUACAAUUAGAUCGUCUUAUUCAUGACUGAGAUGCUGAUUUGAGAGGAUUGUAAGGCCUCUGCACUGUACCAGUAUUGUAGAUAACUAAAAUAUCCAGCUUGUGCAAUUGUUUAAUCCCUCGUCCUUCACUAGCACUAAAUUCGUCACUUUAAAUUUAAAAACCAGGGAAUCCCACCAGCCAUCUUGUUGUCAUCCCCCGUAGAUUCUUGAUCUUUACCUGUCAUGAAAAGAUAUUUUGAUAGAUCGUAGUCAUCCAAGUGUCUGAUGAAACCUUUCAUCUAAUAACGUACUGGGCACCUUCUUUGCAAAAAUGUUUACUCCGUGGUUUUCAUUCAUUUUUAUUUCUGCAUUCUGACACAUAUUUUUUUAAUAAAGAUGAGAAAGAUAAAAUGACUGUUGCAGUACAUUUCUAAACCUACUUUAACUUUACCUCAGAUAAUGACCAUUUGUUAACACAUACGGACACAUUAUUUUUAACUUUAUGUAUAAUGCAUUCAGCAACAAACAAAAAAAAAAAACAACAAAUUUUUAGAAAUUUUCCAUUAAUUUCUGUAACACACCAUGUAAUACUGUUAUGAAUAAAAACAUUUUAAAAAGGUGUCA